GUGGGGAAUAUUGGACAAUGGGCGAAAGCCUGAUCCAGCCAUGCCGCGUGUGUGAAGAAGGUCUUCGGAUUGUAAAGCACUUUAAGUUGGGAGGAAGGGUAGUAACCUAAUACGUUGCUACUUUGACGUUACCGACAGAAUAAGCACCGGCUAACUUCGUGCCAGCAGCCGCGGUAAUACGAAGGGAGCAAGCGUUAAUCGGAAUUACUGGGCGUAAAGCGUGCGUAGGUGGUUCAGUAAGUUGGAAGUGAAAUCCACGGGCUCAACCUGGGAACUGCCUCAAAAGCUGCAUGACUAGAGUACGGUAGAGGGUAGUGGAAUGUCCUGUGUAGCGGUGAAAUGCGUAGAUAUAGGAAAGAACACCAGUGGCGAAGGCGACUACCUGGACUGAUACUAACACUGCGGUGCGAAAGCGUCGGGCGCAAACAGGAUGAGAAACCCCUGUAGUCC
rnacentral:rRNA from 1 species